rnacentral:rRNA from 1 species
UACGUAGGGUGCAAGCGUUGUCCGGAAUUAUUGGGCGUAAAGAGCUCGUAGGCGGUCUGUCGCGUCUGCUGUGAAAACUCAGGGCUUAACCCUGAGCUUGCAGUGGGUACGGGCAGACUAGAGUGCGGUAGGGGAGACUGGAAUUCCUGGUGUAGCGGUGAAAUGCGCAGAUAUCAGGAGGAACACCGGUGGGCGAAGGCGGGUCUGCU